GAACGGUAACAGGUUAAGCUGACGAGUGGCGAACGGGUGAGUGAUAUAUCGGAACGUGCCCAGUCGUGGGGGAUAACUGCUCGAAAGAGCAGCUAAUACCGCAUACGACCUGAGGGUGAAAGCGGGGGAUCGCAAGACCUCGCGCGAUUGGAGCGGCCGAUAUCAGAUUAGGUAGUUGGUGGGGUAAAGGCCCACCAAGCCAACGAUCUGUAGCUGGUCUGAGAGGACGACCAGCCACACUGGGACUGAGACACGGCCCAGACUCCUACGGGAGGCAGCAGUGGGGAAUUUUGGACAAUGGGCGCAAGCCUGAUCCAGCCAUGCCGCGUGCGGGAAGAAGGCCUUCGGGUUGUAAACCGCUUUUGUCAGGGAAGAAAAGGUUCUGGUUAAUACCUGGGACUCAUGACGGUACCUGAAGAAUAAGCACCGGCUAACUACGUG
rnacentral:rRNA from 1 species